GAUGAUAAACAAAGAAUGACAACAGGCGAGUGGGACAACAAAACAAAGGUCACUGGAUGGAUUUCUUCAGUAAGAAGAGUGGUGCUGGAUUUUUGGAGGGAGUUGGUGGGGCCCAGCAGAGGAGAGUGAAAAAGUAAGGUGAUCAAGUGAUUACUGACACCUGUGGCCUGUGUGUGGGAGAGGGAGAACAAAGAGGAGGCUCAUUUUGCAGAAGAGUGAAGUGGAAGCAGGCAGGAGGAGAGUGGAUCAGGAGAACGCCUCACCUUAUUGGGACUUCUCUAAGAAGGACACUUUUUGACUUGUGGCACUACCAUACCACUUCAUCCCUUUCAUCAGCAACAAUCCUCAUGAACUCAAACUCCAUACUCACACCUAAGGAACAGACCAGAGGUCCUCGUCCAGCAUGAUUUCCCUAAUGGCCCCCUGAAACUGCAAGUCCUGCUCACUUUCUCCCUCUGCUCUCUCUCUUUUCACGUCCCUACACCCAUACACCAACAUCAAAUGUUAAAA